rnacentral:rRNA from 1 species
GUGCCAGCAGCCGCGGUAAUACGAAGGGUGCAAGCGUUACUCGGAAUUACUGGGCGUAAAGCGUGCGUAGGUGGUCGUUUAAGUCCGUUGUGAAAGCCCUGGGCUCAACCUGGGAACUGCAGUGGAUACUGGGCGACUAGAGUGUGGUAGAGGGUAGCGGAAUUCCUGGUGUAGCAGUGAAAUGCGUAGAGAUCAGGAGGAACAUCCAUGGCGAAGGCAGCUACCUGGACCAACACUGACACUGAGGCACGAAAGCGUGGGGAGCAAACAGGAUUAGAUACCCUGGUAGUCCACGCCCUAAACGAUGCGAACUGGAUGUUGGGUGCAAUUUGGCACGCAGUAUCGAAGCUAACGCGUUAAGUUCGCCGCCUGGGGAGUACGGUCGCAAGACUGAAACUCAAAGGAAUUGACGGGGGCCCGCACAAGCGGUGGGGUAUGUGGUUUAAUUCGAUGCAACGCGAAGAACCUUACCAGG